UAGAGAGAGAAAAAACACAAGUAAAUGUUAUGAAUCACUGCACAGCACACAAAUUUGGGGGAACUCACACACAAAAUAGAAAAUACCAGCUUUUUUCAAUCACAUCUGCCAGAUCAUUUAGAGAGAAGAAAGAAUAUCAAGAAGAAGAAGAAAGAAAACACACCUAGAUAACUAUAGGUUUAUAGACUUCAACCAAUGCGGAAAGAGCACUGAAGUGGUAAGGUUUUUCGUUUUUGUUUGAAUUCAUAUUUUUGCUUUUAAUGGAAAACUUUUCUUCAUAAGCGCCAAAAAUAAACAUAAAUUUAAAAAACAAUAAUUUCUCCGUCGAUCUAGCUAAUUUUACCUUGAGAUGAACGAAACCAACAGAUUUCUGAUGUUUUCUUCUUCCUCUGCUAUCUAAACGUGAAAGACGACCAGAUGAAACAUCUCCGAUUACUUUAACAUCAUCAAAAUUCUCUGAUCUUCGAAUCUUUGAGUAAGAAACAACACCAUUUCUUAAUAAAAACCAUCGAGAUCUCCAUCCUUUACCGUAAUUUGUCCAUUUAUAUAAAACUCCGGCAACAUUAACUUCAGAUACAGUUUCUUUACCGACAUUGUUUUCAGAUCCAAAACCAGAAACUUCUGGUAAAAAACAACCGUUGUUUCUUGAAAUCACCGGUGAUUGAUCUCCAAUUACUGUGUUUUCAAGUGAGAUACAACACAACGGAUGCAUUUCCUUGACUCGCAUUCCGAUCUACUUGUUUGAAAAUUCGAAGAUCAGAUCUCUCACAUCAUCAUCAUCAUCAUCUUCUUCUCCAUUAAAGCGAAGCAGUUUCUGCUUCUUCUACUUCUGAACCAAAAUCAGAACUCAGAACAGAAAAAGUUUUGCAGAGAAGUUUAGGGUUUUAUAGUAAAAAAAAAAACCAAUAGCUUUCGUUUAUGCAUAAAUUAGAAGAAAGAAAUUGUGAAAUUAAUUAAUAAAUAAACAAAGUACUCUGGCCUCUGGAUAAUUAAAAUUGGUGGUUAAGUAUUUAAUUGGUGAUUAAGAAGGAAAAUAAAAUCUCGUGAUAUUUUGAAUUUAUCGUGAGGUUUUAAAUACUCCAAGUAAUAUUGCAGGCAGAGGUGCAGAGCAGAAAGAGGUUAAUGGGGAAGAGUUAUAAAUAGAGGUAUUUAUUACUGCGUAAUCAUGAAAACUAGUUGGGCGGGAAAUAUUACAUCUAGAAUUCUUGUUUUUAUCAUCAUCAUCUUUAUCACGCGAGUUAAUAAAAUGACGUAAUUGUCCUUAUGAAGUAGUAAGUUUUAAUUACCAAUUACUGUACAAGUUGUUGGUGCAUAAAGGCCAUAAUCAAAAGCCAGCUAUAGCAGAGAUAAUGAUGAGUACAAAUUUUGUUGACCAUUGACUUCUGAGCAGUAGAACAGGUCGGCAGAGUGAACAAAUACCAGCGGCUUAACCGGUGGUGUUAAAAUUGUGGACCAUAUUAUCCAUUAUCCGAACAAAACUUAAAGCAAUAACAACAACAUAUUACAGUAUUACUCAUUUGAUUUGAAGGUGUAUGUAUACAUAAAAGUCGUAUUCGAACCAUUAUGAGUCUAGGUAUCUCACUCACACUAUAGGAGGAUAGAACUAAGACAUGCUUGGUCUAUAAAUUGGUCAAUGACAAUGAUCAGCUAACAACAUUUUCACUUUUUUUUUUUUCUUUUUGUCCAAGGUAAAUAAAUAAGAAGAGAUAAGAGUAACUGCAGUGGUCCUAAUGAGCAGAUAUAUAUGUACCAUUUUGGUUGUAAGAGAGUACCUAGCUUAACUUUGUUGACUAUAUAUAUAGAAAAUUAGCAUGGUUAGUCGCACUAUGCAUGUAUCAUGUAUUCAUGUCUGUUGCUAUAAGCUAGCCUAUAACUCUAUAAGUACGUACAAAUGAUUAUGUUAUGCUGUCCUCAACCAAAACAUUGUGAAAUGACAGAGAAAAAUUAUUUGCGUCCGGCCAAGUUUCAGCAGAGGAGAGCAGAAGUUGAUCAUAAUAUAUAUACUAUUUUGAAAAGUAGUGAACUUGUGGCCAUGUGAGGUGGAUAUCAUAUAGUAGUAUUUUGAUCAGAUAUAGGAUCUUUGGUGAAUAUGUUGUAACUUGCUUUUUUCUUGGUAAAGGUAUAUAUGUUGUAACUUGUGCAACAAAAUACAUGCGGGGAUCAUGUCAAUAUGUCUACGCACUCUAGCUCCCCGAUCCAUUUUUUACAUUGGACGUUAAAAAGUGCAGGAUAUGUUGCCUUGACGAAAAUAAAGUUGUGUAUUUUAAUUGGAAAUCCAUUCUCCCAUUCUCUCUGUCUCUCUAUGCCUGUUUUCCUUACUAUUAAAAGCACCAAAAAACCAAUUUGG
rnacentral:lncRNA from 1 species